GAAGAACGCCGCCAUACUUGUGAAAGGUUCCGCGUUUGCGCUUGCUUGACGUCGUCGAUGUAUCAAGCUGCUGAUAACCUGCGCAGUUCUGAGGCGCUUCAAGCCGCCCCAAGCCCACAAGGUGCAAAAGAGGGCGACGUCGCCGCGACCGAGGCUCCGUUUACGUCGCCUGCUUUUUCCGGCAGCGCGGUAGCGAAGACGGAGUGUGUUGAACUCCAGCGGGACAAGAAGUGCUCUACGGGUCAAAACGAACAGUGAACUAAACCUUGGAACUAUGGGCGUACUAAUGGCCAAGACACUGGUGCUAGCGAGAACUCCUGAGGAAAACGGCAGCUUUUGGAACACCGCCACGCGUAGGAAAUUCAAGCAAGGAACCAGGUGCAUCUUCAACGCACACAGAUCGGAUGCUUGCCCAACAACGCAGCAAGAUGGUGAACGUCAGCGCCGCCGAAUGGGACGAGACGAGGGCAUCGACGCUCUUUGCCUGGAGCCUGUCCGUGCAGCUGGCGCUGGGGUCCUGGCUGGCAGUCCACCACCAGCGGGCGCUUAUGGGAGACAUCAGUCAAAAAAAGGCCGCCCAGCGAACCCUGAUGCGGCGCUUCUGUCUGCUUUCGUGCGGUGCUGCUGAGGAGAGCGAGCAAAUGGCUGCUCGCGCCCGGUGUCUCGUGCCUCUGGUCGGCCUCUACGAGUUCGCCGAGGCCUUUGGCCGCCCAAAGGGCUCUGCCAUGAAUCCGACGGUCAGCUGCAACAGUGACAACCCACUGACUACAGUCGAUGCCACCUAGUCCUGGAGGAGUGUGCACUUCCUUUAGACGUUAGGCACGUCAUUUAACAGCGGAUUUUAGUUAAUUGAGGAGUGACUCGUUGCAUCUAGUAUAUAAGAGCCAAGGUUCAUUGAUGACUAAGACUUCAGGACAGUUUAUAUCCGAGCAUACUUAAUAUACUUUAAAUGCGAUUGUUAAGCGGGCUCUGAGAAAUAGUGUUGCGCCGAUGUAUAAACCAAUCGAUUA